AUGUUUGUCACUAUCCUGUUUGGAGACAGCAGGAUGGAAAUGUUCAAUCUCAACUGUAAGCUGAUAAACUUCACUCGUCAUUUGAAGCAGACGUGCAGUCUGGACUUGAAUGAGUGUGUGGACUUGAUGGACAGCAGUGGCUCAGUGAUGAACUUAGAGGCGAGGCAGCACAGCGUGUCUCUGGCCAGCAGCAUCCUGGCACAGAGACAAUACUACGUCCUCCUGCGCGUCUGCCGCGAUGAUGAUACUGGGGCUCGUAAAUAUGUUUCUCUCUUAAACAACUAUAGCCAGAGUCAUCCAGAAUUAACAGAGUUGUUGAGGAAACUGUCAAACCCCCAAAAGGAGCAAGACAGACAGAUCAGAGGAAGAUGGAAACAGAGGAGCCUAACUGCCAACCAAACCAGGAGCAAGAAUGGUGCCGCAAAUAACAGGAGCCAUAAAAUCGGGGAGCAGCAUGAUCCAGAGCAGGAAUCACAGUCACCAUAUUGUGAAGUGUUGAACCAACCAACCCUGAACCGGUGACAAGCAGCAGUGCAGCAGUCCUUUCCAUGACCAUUCAGCUUUGCCACAUGCAGGAAAAGAAGCUUAGCACCCCCCAUCACACAAAACCCAUUCCCCUCUAUCUAAUUGACUCUCUGCCUCUUUUAAUUCAUUGAUCAUCCUCCAGCUUCAGCCUUGUUUUAGCUCAAUUUAAUGAUUA
rnacentral:lncRNA from 1 species